UCUCAAUAUCUUCUCUGCUUCCACCCUUCUUAGUCUAUUGAUCAUCAUCAGUUUUCAACCAUUGCAUUCUGUUGAGGGCUUCUUUAUUGAUUUUGCUACUUUUACCUAAUUUCGUUAAUUGUUCUCCUUGAAUCCUUAUCCCAAAAUGUUUAGAGAUAUGGGUUAAAAUCAUAGCAUAAGGUAAGAAUAUCUGUGCUCUACCGAUCGCCUCUUGUAUAGUCCUGAUAAUCAUUCUUGAAAGGUUGAGUGAGAUACAUUGGACUACAUGAUACAUGAUUGUUAAGUCCUUCUCUCUUACAAUAUCAAAUUCUCCUGCUCUAGAUUGUAUAAUCUAAUAAACAAUGAUAUGGAGGAGUCUCAUUUUAAUGUCUUAGUGUCGUCCAUAGAUUUUAUGGAAUUGACCGUGGUUCUUUAUCCUAAAAAUAAUUUCUAUUCUUAUGCUUCUAUCCUCUAUAUUAUCUAGU
rnacentral:lncRNA from 1 species